rnacentral:rRNA from 1 species
UACAGAGGUCUCAAGCGUUUGUUCGGAUUCAUUGGGCGUAAAGGGUGCGUAGGUGGCAUGGUAAGUCGGAUGUGAAAUCCCGGGGCUCAACCCCGGAACUGCAUUCGAUACUGCUGUGCUAGAGUACUGGAGAGGAGAUUGGAAUUUACGGUGUAGCAGUGAAAUGCGUAGAUAUCGUAAGGAAGACCAGUGGCGAAGGCGGAUCUCUGGACAGUUACUGACACUGAGGCACGAAGGCCAGGGGAGCAAACGGG